GUGACUGCGUACCUUUUGUAUAAUGGGUCAGCGACUUAUAUUCUGUAGCAAGGUUAACCGUAUAGGGGAGCCGCAGGGAAACCGAGUCUUAACUGGGCGUUAAGUUGCAGGGUAUAGACCCGAAACCCGGUGAUCUAGCCAUGGGCAGGUUGAAGGUUGGGUAACACUAACUGGAGGACCGAACCGACUAAUGUUGAAAAAUUAGCGGAUGACUUGUGGCUGGGGGUGAAAGGCCAAUCAAACCGGGAGAUAGCUGGUUCUCCCCGAAAGCUAUUUAGGUAGCGCCUCGUGAACUCAUCUUCGGGGGUAGAGCACUGUUUCGGCUAGGGGGUCAUCCCGACUUACCAACCCGAUGCAAACUACGAAUACCGAAGAAUGUUAUCACGGGAGACACACGGCGGGUGCUAACGUCCGUCGUGAAGAGGGAAACAACCCAGACCGCCAGCUAAGGUCCCAAAGUCAUGGUUAAGUGGGAAACGAUGUGGGAAGGCCCAGACAGCCAGGAUGUUGGCUUAGAAGCAGCCAUCAUUUAAAGAAAGCGUAAUAGCUCACUGGUCGAGUCGGCCUGCGCGGAAGAUGUAACGGGGCUAAACCAUGCACCGAAGCUGCGGCAGCGACACUAUGUGUUGUUGGGUAGGGGAGCGUUCUGUAAGCCUGUGAAGGUGGCCUGUGAGGGCUGCUGGAGGUAUCAGAAGUGCGAAUGCUGACAUAAGUAACGAUAAAGCGGGUGAAAAGCCCGCUCGCCGGAAGACCAAGGGUUCCUGUCCAACGUUAAUCGGGGCAGGGUGAGUCGACCCCUAAGGCGAGGCCGAAAGGCGUAGUCGAUGGGAAACAGGUUAAUAUUCCUGUACUUGGUGUUACUGCGAAGGGGGGACGGAGAAGGCUAUGUCAUCCGGGCGACGGUUGUCCCGGUUUAAGCAUGUAGGCUGGUUAUCCAGGCAAAUCCGGAUAAUCAAGGCUGAGGUGUGAUGACGAGGUACCACGGUACUGAAGUGACAGAUGCCCUGCUUCCAGGAAAAGCCUCUAAGCAUCAGGUAACAUCAAAUCGUACCCCAAACCGACACAGGUGGUCAGGUAGAGAAUACCAAGGCGCUUGAGAGAACUCGGGUGAAGGAACUAGGCAAAAUGGUGCCGUAACUUCGGGAGAAGGCACGCUGGUGUGUAGGUGAAGUCCCUGCGGACGGAGCUGAGACCAGUCGAAGAUACCAGCUGGCUGCAACUGUUUAUUAAAAACACAGCACUGUGCAAACACGAAAGUGGACGUAUACGGUGUGACGCCUGCCCGGUGCCGGAAGGUUAAUUGAUGGGGUUAUCCGUAAGGAGAAGCUCUUGAUCGAAGCCCCGGUAAACGGCGGCCGUAACUAUAACGGUCCUAAGGUAGCGAAAUUCCUUGUCGGGUAAGUUCCGACCUGCACGAAUGGCGUAAUGAUGGCCAGGCUGUCUCCACCCGAGACUCAGUGAAAUUGAACUCGCUGUGAAGAUGCAGUGUACCCGCGGCAAGACGGAAAGACCCCGUGAACCUUUACUAUAGCUUGACACUGAACAUUGAGCCUUGAUGUGUAGGAUAGGUGGGAGGCUUUGAAGCGUGGACGCCAGUCUGCGUGGAGCCAACCUUGAAAUACCACCCUUUAAUGUUUGAUGUUCUAACGUUGGCCCCUUAUCGGGGUUGCGGACAGUGUCUGGUGGGUAGUUUGACUGGGGCGGUCUCCUCCCAAAGCGUAACGGAGGAGCACGAAGGUUAGCUAAUCCUGGUCGGACAUCAGGAGGUUAGUGCAAUGGCAUAAGCUAGCUUGACUGCGAGCGUGACGGCGCGAGCAGGUGCGAAAGCAGGUCAUAGUGAUCCGGUGGUUCUGAAUGGAAGGGCCAUCGCUCAACGGAUAAAAGGUACUCCGGGGAUAACAGGCUGAUACCGCCCAAGAGUUCAUAUCGACGGCGGUGUUUGGCACCUCGAUGUCGGCUCAUCACAUCCUGGGGCUGAAGUAGGUCCCAAGGGUAUGGCUGUUCGCCAUUUAAAGUGGUACGCGAGCUGGGUUUAGAACGUCGUGAGACAGUUCGGUCCCUAUCUGCCGUGGGCGCUGGAGAAUUGAGGGGGGCUGCUCCUAGUACGAGAGGACCGGAGUGGACGCAUCACUGGUGUUCGGGUUGUCAUGCCAAUGGCACUGCCCGGUAGCUAAAUGCGGAAGAGAUAAGUGCUGAAAGCAUCUAAGCACGAAACUUGCCCCGAGAUGAGUUCUCCCUGAGACUAUAAGUCUCCUGAAGGAACGUUGAAGACGACGACGUUGAUAGGCCGGGUGUGUAAGCGCAGCGAUGCGUUGAGCUAACCGGUACUAAUGAACCGUGAGGCUUAACCUUACAACGCCGAAG
rnacentral:rRNA from 1 species